rnacentral:lncRNA from 1 species
GUAUUUUAUGCAUGCAUUAUAUAAAUUAAAAGGUGUUUUAAUCUUCUCUUUCACUGUAGUGUUUAGAAAAUAAAAUUUUAAAAUACACAUAUAUGCCCCAACACACGAAUUCCAAUAGAACUUGGGUCAACAAGUAACCUAAUACAAAACAUAAUCUUCCAAAAUGGUCAGGUAAGUGAAGAUGAGUAGGGGUCCCUCCGUUGCUUUUCUUAAAUACCAAUGAAUUGGCC